rnacentral:lncRNA from 1 species
CCUCCUGGGGAUCUGGGAUGAGCCCAGGCUCCUCCCCUGGAAGAACCUUUGGCCAGUCCUUGAAUCGGCCAAUCUGCCGCCUCCCAGAGCCCCCAGGCCCUGGGCUGGGGGCAGGGACGAAGAUGGGGAGGAGGCAACACUAGCUCUGGCCAAGCGCUGCUGGGUCACCGUGAGUACCCGCUCCAUUUGGCCUCCUUCUGGGGCUGUUUAGACAGGAUGGGUCACUCUCCGGGCUGGGUGUCCGAGCCCUUCAGUAACUACUGUGGGCCCCUAAGUCCCGCAGUUCUGAGAGGCGUCCCCUGCCACCCGUGCCAGCCUCCCCCAGCCCUUCCUGCUGCCUGCUCGUGCCCACUGCUCACACACACUGCUUUAUUGGUGAUAACCAGAGCACCAAAGGGCCAGGAGGGACUGCCCUCCUUUCCCUACUAGUUCAGUGCUCUCUCCAGGCACCCCGGGUCCACAGAGCAAUUGCCUCCUCCUGUAGUUUCACUGAUCAGUGUGUGAAGGCCCAGAGAGGGUCAAGGGCUCGGCCAGAGCCACACAGCCCAGGUCCUUUUCAAUUUCUCCAAGGCCCCAGUGAACUUUCUUUGGUACCAGUUUUAGGAAGCAGCGUACAUACAGAAUGGGAGAGUGACGAUUUGGAGGAAAUGAUUUCCUGCCAAAGUCUCUUUCUUUCCUUUUCCAAGAUGAUGGGACAACUGGGGCUCUGGGUUCCUCCUCUGUGUGGGCAAAGGAGGAGCAUGGAGCCAGCUGGGGCUGUGCCAGGAAGCCAGACACCUUGAAUUAUUUGUAUUAACGGGUAUGACCAGAAGCAGGGUGCAGGACAUGCGCUGAGCCAAUCUGUGGGGCCUGUAGUUUCACACUGAAUUACCAAGAUCAAUUAGUCAGUUUGGGAGGCGAAGGGUACCAAGGGGACUGCUUGUCUUAAGGGUCUUUCAAGGUAUCUUCUCUUUUGUGACUUUGGUAAUCCUGUGACAGACAGUGCCUGCCCAUGAGCCCCAGACACAGUGGAGCUCCCCAAGACAUCUGUUGCUUAGGUACAAGGCACAUCUUGGAGUUCCUUUCUUGACUCAGCAGUUAACGAACCCAACGAGGAUCCACAAGGAUGCGGAUUCGAUCCCUGGCCUCGCUCAGUGGGUUAAGGAUCCAGGCAUUGCCCUGAGCUGUGGUGUAGGUCCCAGACACGGCUUGGAUCCCGCGUUGCUGUGGCUGUGGCGUCAGCUGGCAGCUGUAGCUCGGAUUCGACCCCUAGCCUGGGAACUUCCAUAUACCGUGGGUGUGGUCCUAAAAAAGUAAAAAACAAACAAAAAAACCCACAUAUCUAUCCUCCCAGCAUCCAUCCUUGUCCACUGAUCACAAAAAAAGCAACAGCCUGUGCACUGCUCU